UACGUAGGUGGCAAGCGUUGUCCGGAAUUAUUGGGUGUAAAGCGCGCGCAGGCGGCCUCUUAAGUCUGAUGUGAAAGCCCCCGGCUCAACCGGGGAGGGCCAUUGGAAACUGGGAGGCUUGAGUAUAGGAGAGAAGAGUGGGAUUCCACGUGUAGCGGUGAAAUGCGUAGAGAUGUGGAGGAACACCAGUGGCGAAGGCGACUCUUUGGCCUAUAACUGACGCUGAGGCGCGAAAGCGUGGGGAGCAAACAGG
rnacentral:rRNA from 1 species